UACGAAGGGUGCAAGCGUUACUCGGAAUUACUGGGCGUAAAGCGUGCGUAGGUGGUUUGUUAAGUCUGUUGUGAAAGCCCCAGGCUUAACCUGGGAAGUGCACUCGAAACUGUAGGGCUUGAGUAUGGAAGAGGGUCUCGGAAUUCCCGGUGUAGAGGUGAAAUUCGUAGAUAUCGGGAGGAACACCAGUGGCGAAGGCGGAGACCUGGGCCAAUACUGACGCUGAGGUGCGAAAGCGUGGGGAGCAAACAGG
rnacentral:rRNA from 1 species